AGACGUUGUGUUUGAGCAGUCGGCUAUGGGUCUGACUCAACCAACCUCUGUGCCCACUAUCCUUCCUCUGGACGCAACAUCAUGUCUUUCUGAGCGGCUUGAGAAGGCACAUGCGCCCUUGUCACGACACAUUUCCACACAGAAGCUCGGCUGGUAAAGUUUUUGUUUUGAAAGCCUAAAGGCUUGAGUUUGAUCCCCAGCAUCCAGGUAAGAAGCUGGGUAUGGUGAUUUGAGCUUGCAAUCCUAGCCCUGGGGGAUCUUUAGAUCUUGCUGGAUGGCCUGCCUGACCUAACCAACGAGCUCUGAGUCCUUGAGAAGGAGAACAUGCCCCUCUCAAAAGGGUGGCCAGUAACUAAGGAAUGACCUCUGGUCUCCAUCCACAAA